rnacentral:lncRNA from 1 species
CUCCUCUUUCCAGAGCCAAUCACAUUUCGACAAACAGUGCUGAGACCUCCCAGGACAAGCAAUGCAGAGGUAACAAUGCCCUAGUUACAGGACUUCAAAAUGUUUAUUCAGAUUGAGCAACAUUUAACAAAAUCUCUACCUAUCGAAACCGUUUGUAUAGAGGCUGAGAAACUGUUACCAAAUAGAAAAUACAAAAAAUUCCUACAUCUAUGAUUUGAAAUUAUUUUAAUGUUGUUUUCUUGGUGUUGGGCAGUGGCGCAACCUAAUCAAAUUGGAUAAAUGAUUACUGAUUUCUUUUUACAAAUCUAAGAAGAAACAUGUUCUUGGUGUCAAUAGCCAAGGCAAAGUAAAUAUUUUAUCACUUUCAACAUACCAGGAUAUGAAACUAGAAUCUGGAGUGAAGCUAGGCUGCCCAAGAUUGCAAUUUCCAAACCAUGAGAGGACUGCCGAAACUUGAGAAAGCUGGCGUCUCCUGGCACCCCCUGAGAGUUCAGUGCACUGCAGAAGCAGCUAAUUUCAUUCCUGCAAUGUGAGCUUUUAAACUCACAAGCAACCAAGUGGGACCCUGUUCAUAAACGGGGACACUUCCCUGCACCAUGGCCGGCAUCUCUCAUUCCCUAAAAGAAUCUGAGAGGGGAGGAAAGAGAUCCAAGAAGUGCCAGUCCUCAGAGCUUCAUCUGUCUACGCUGAUUACUUUUGCAGCUCUGCAAUUUGUAGAAGUUUCCUUCACAGCAGGAGCAGCAGAAGCAAUGGACACUGCCUGCUUUGCAUUCUUGAGAGUCCUGAGAGAGUGGAUGAGCCCCACAGUGGUCCAUCCUCCGUCCAUCUGAUUCCAACCAGCCAUGAUAUCAAAUGCCCUCCCAGCCCUGAACGAGCUUUCCUUCCACCACAGAAAUGCUGCUACUUUAGGGACAGGGUGCAGUAACUGGGGGACAUUUGCCCAGUAAUUUUGCAAAACGCUUUGCGACCAAAUGAAUUGAAAUUGAUUAAAUUGAAACGGGGGAGGAACUGAAUUUAUUGGGUUGAAUCAAGAGUUCAGUCAAUCAAUGUCAUUUACUGAGGGCUUGCUAUGUGCAGAGCACUGUACUAAGCACUUGGGAGAGUACAGUACAACAGAAUUAGCCGACCCGUUCUCUGCCCAUAAUGAGUUUAUAGUCUAGAGGGGGAGACAGAUAUUAACAAUUAAAAAAUUUAUAAUAUAUAAAUUAAAGAUAUAUACAUAAGUGCUGUGGGUCAGAGGUGGGGUGGAUAGCAAAUGUCCAAAGGUAACAGAUCCAACUACACAGACAAUGCAGAAGGGAAAGUGAGCCAGAGGAAAGAGGGCUUAAUUGGGGAAGGGCUCUUGGAGGAGAUGUGACCUUAAUAAAGUUUUGAAGGUGGAGAGAGUGGUGGUCCUGCGUAUAAGGAGGGAAAAGGAGUUCCAGGCUAGGGGGAGGAUGUGGGAAAGGAGAAUGAUUCACAUAUGGUUUCAGAAAGCACCAGAAGAAGAUGGUUUGCUGAUCACAAACAAAACAUUCGGCAGGAAGAGUUAGAAUGAGGCACAAAAGCUCCAGGGGGCACGAACUAUGGCAUCUCCUCAUUUGGAAAGCUGCCUAAAAUAGUGCCAGCUAUUCAUUCUGUUUAAUCACGGCCACUAUGCUGAUGGCAAAUGGAAUCAGGAAGCGAUCCAAUGGCUCCUGAAAGGUGGAGACAGUGUUUAUUCAUUCAAUAGUAUUUAUUGAAUGCUUACUAUGUGCAGAACACUGUACUAAGCACUUGGAAUGUACAGAUCAGUAACAGAUAGAGACAGUCCCUGCCCUUUGACGGGCUUACAGUGUUUACCAACCGUUGUACUCUUCCAUUGUCAUACACCCAAUCAGUGCUCAAUAAAUUCUGCUGAUUGAUUGAUUGACCUGACUACUGAGUGGGUCCAGCUAGUUGAAUUUCACCCUUCAGCUCAUAUUACCACACUGAAAGAAUUCAGAAAAUCACAUUGUCUGAUCAGGGGUCUUGGCCUCAUGCUUAUUAUCUUAGAAUCAUAGAAACAUAAACUCAGAGAGCUGGAAAGGAUUUCAUAUCAUCAAGUCCAGCCUCCUGCUUUCAGGUAGGAACAUAAGAAAUGUGACAAUUGGGUCAAAGACUUGAUUCUUCCAGCCCAAUGUGCUUUCUCCAAAAAAUAGUUCCGGGAUACUUGAAGGAACUGGAAGUGAUUACCUUCAUUGACAUGUAGCCUAAUGGUUAGGGAAGUUUUUAUCUACUAUCUCUGGUCUUGCCUCCAUAUCCUUUCAUUGCUCAUUGUAGAGUCCUCCUCCAUUAAUUUAACAAAACCCUUCCUGAGCCCGCUGAUUCUUUCUGACCCUACACUUCUGUUACAAUGUACUUUCCAAACACUUAGUACAGUGCUCUGUACACAAUAAGCUCUCAGUAAAUACCAUUAAUUGAUUGAUUGAUAUAAUGAAUCCCACAUGCCUAUUGCCUGCCAUGUAAAGUGUUUCCUUUUUUUUUCAGCUUGCCUCCCUCAAGCUUCAGGUGGGCAAGUUUUUCCUCUUCUCCCACUCCCUUCUGUAUAAUCCUGACUUGCUCCUUUUGUUCUUCCCCCCUCCCAGCCCCAAAGCACUUAAAUACUUAUCUGUCAUUUAUUUAUUUGUGUUGAUGACUGUUUCUCCACCUCUGGACUCUAAACUUAUUGUGAACAGGGAAUGUAUCAGUUUAUUAUUGUAUUGUACUCUCUCAAGUGCUUAAUAUGGUGCUCUGCACACAGUAAGAGCUCAAUAAAUACAAUUGAAAGAAUGAAUGAAUGAAUGGCUGCCUCUUCUUUCCUUAAAAAUCUCAAGAGGGAGAGAUUUUACAAUCUCCCUCAGCAUCCUACUCCUGUGUUUUACUGGCCUGAUUUAGAAGUCCUUAUGUCCAACUAAAACUUCUCCCGCUUUAAAUCUAUUUCCUCUUCUCAGUCUUCAAGGAACCUGGAGAAAAACUCGUCAGCAAUCUCCCCAUAAAAAUUCCUUCACAGACUUGAAGACAAGGCUUAAAUCACGCUUGGUUUUCUCUUCCGUAAUCUAAACAC